rnacentral:rRNA from 1 species
GGGUUGUGAGGUUAAGCGACUAAGCGUACACGGUGGAUGCCCUGGCAGUCAGAGGCGAUGAAGGACGUGCUAAUCUGCGAUAAGCGUCGGUAAGGUGAUAUGAACCGUUAUAACCGGCGAUUUCCGAAUGGGGAAACCCAGUGUGUUUCGACACACUAUCAUUAACUGAAUCCAUAGGUUAAUGAGGCGAACCGGGGGAACUGAAACAUCUAAGUACCCCGAGGAAAAGAAAUCAACCGAGAUUCCCCCAGUAGCGGCGAGCGAACGGGGAGCAGCCCAGAGCCUGAAUCAGUGUGUGUGUUAGUGGAAGCGUCUGGAAAGGCGCGCGAUACAGGGUGACAGCCCCGUACACAAAAAUGCACAUGCUGUGAGCUCGAUGAGUAGGGCGGGACACGUGGUAUCCUGUCUGAAUAUGGGGGGACCAUCCUCCAAGGCUAAAUACUCCUGACUGACCGAUAGUGAACCAGUACCGUGAGGGAAAGGCGAAAAGAACCCCGGCGAGGGGAGUGAAAAAGAACCUGAAACCGUGUACGUACAAGCAGUGGGAGCACGCUUAGGCGUGUGACUGCGUACCUUUUGUAUAAUGGGUCAGCGACUUAUAUUCUGUAGCAAGGUUAACCGAAUAGGGGAGCCGAAGGGAAACCGAGUCUUAACUGGGCGUUAAGUUGCAGGGUAUAGACCCGAAACCCGGUGAUCUAGCCAUGGGCAGGUUGAAGGUUGGGUAACACUAACUGGAGGACCGAACCGACUAAUGUUGAAAAAUUAGCGGAUGACUUGUGGCUGGGGGUGAAAGGCCAAUCAAACCGGGAGAUAGCUGGUUCUCCCCGAAAGCUAUUUAGGUAGCGCCUCGUGAAUUCAUCUCCGGGGGUAGAGCACUGUUUCGGCAAGGGGGUCAUCCCGACUUACCAACCCGAUGCAAACUGCGAAUACCGGAGAAUGUUAUCACGGGAGACACACGGCGGGUGCUAACGUCCGUCGUGAAGAGGGAAACAACCCAGACCGCCAGCUAAGGUCCCAAAGUCAUGGUUAAGUGGGAAACGAUGUGGGAAGGCCCAGACAGCCAGGAUGUUGGCUUAGAAGCAGCCAUCAUUUAAAGAAAGCGUAAUAGCUCACUGGUCGAGUCGGCCUGCGCGGAAGAUGUAACGGGGCUAAACCAUGCACCGAAGCUGCGGCAGCGACGCUUAUGCGUUGUUGGGUAGGGGAGCGUUCUGUAAGCCUGUGAAGGUGUACUGUGAGGUAUGCUGGAGGUAUCAGAAGUGCGAAUGCUGACAUAAGUAACGAUAAAGCGGGUGAAAAGCCCGCUCGCCGGAAGACCAAGGGUUCCUGUCCAACGUUAAUCGGGGCAGGGUGAGUCGACCCCUAAGGCGAGGCCGAAAGGCGUAGUCGAUGGGAAACAGGUUAAUAUUCCUGUACUUGGUGUUACUGCGAAGGGGGGACGGAGAAGGCUAUGUUGGCCGGGCGACGGUUGUCCCGGUUUAAGCGUGUAGGCUGGUUUUCCAGGCAAAUCCGGAAAAUCAAGGCUGAGGCGUGAUGACGAGGCACUACGGUGCUGAAGCAACAAAUGCCCUGCUUCCAGGAAAAGCCUCUAAGCAUCAGGUAACAUCAAAUCGUACCCCAAACCGACACAGGUGGUCAGGUAGAGAAUACCAAGGCGCUUGAGAGAACUCGGGUGAAGGAACUAGGCAAAAUGGUGCCGUAACUUCGGGAGAAGGCACGCUGAUAUGUAGGUGAAGCGACUUGCUCGUGGAGCUGAAAUCAGUCGAAGAUACCAGCUGGCUGCAACUGUUUAUUAAAAACACAGCACUGUGCAAACACGAAAGUGGACGUAUACGGUGUGACGCCUGCCCGGUGCCGGAAGGUUAAUUGAUGGGGUCAGCGCAAGCGAAGCUCUUGAUCGAAGCCCCGGUAAACGGCGGCCGUAACUAUAACGGUCCUAAGGUAGCGAAAUUCCUUGUCGGGUAAGUUCCGACCUGCACGAAUGGCGUAAUGAUGGCCAGGCUGUCUCCACCCGAGACUCAGUGAAAUUGAACUCGCUGUGAAGAUGCAGUGUACCCGCGGCAAGACGGAAAGACCCCGUGAACCUUUACUAUAGCUUGACACUGAACAUUGAGCCUUGAUGUGUAGGAUAGGUGGGAGGCUUUGAAGUGUGGACGCCAGUCUGCAUGGAGCCGACCUUGAAAUACCACCCUUUAAUGUUUGAUGUUCUAACGUUGACCCGUAAUCCGGGUUGCGGACAGUGUCUGGUGGGUAGUUUGACUGGGGCGGUCUCCUCCUAAAGAGUAACGGAGGAGCACGAAGGUUGGCUAAUCCUGGUCGGACAUCAGGAGGUUAGUGCAAUGGCAUAAGCCAGCUUGACUGCGAGCGUGACGGCGCGAGCAGGUGCGAAAGCAGGUCAUAGUGAUCCGGUGGUUCUGAAUGGAAGGGCCAUCGCUCAACGGAUAAAAGGUACUCCGGGGAUAACAGGCUGAUACCGCCCAAGAGUUCAUAUCGACGGCGGUGUUUGGCACCUCGAUGUCGGCUCAUCACAUCCUGGGGCUGAAGUAGGUCCCAAGGGUAUGGCUGUUCGCCAUUUAAAGUGGUACGCGAGCUGGGUUUAGAACGUCGUGAGACAGUUCGGUCCCUAUCUGCCGUGGGCGCUGGAGAACUGAGGGGGGCUGCUCCUAGUACGAGAGGACCGGAGUGGACGCAUCACUGGUGUUCGGGUUGUCAUGCCAAUGGCACUGCCCGGUAGCUAAAUGCGGAAGAGAUAAGUGCUGAAAGCAUCUAAGCACGAAACUUGCCCCGAGAUGAGUUCUCCCUGACCCUUUAAGGGUCCUGAAGGAACGUUGAAGACGACGACGUUGAUAGGCCGGGUGUGUAAGCGCAGCGAUGCGUUGAGCUAACCGGUACUAAUGAACCGUGAGGCUUAACCUUACAACGCCGAAG